rnacentral:rRNA from 1 species
AGGUUGAAGGUGUGGUAACACACACUGGAGGACCGAACCGACUAGUGUUGCAAAAUUAGCGGAUGAGCUGUGGAUAGGGGUGAAAGGCCAAACAAAUCUGGAGAUAGCUGGUUCUCCCCGAAAACUAUUGAGGUAGUGCCUCGUGUGUCGCUCCAGGGGGUAGAGCACUGUUUUGGCUAGGGGGACAUGGAGUCUUACCAAACCAAGGCAAACUCCGAAUACCUGGAAGCGUAAGCACGGGAGACAGAGCACCGGGUGCUAACGUCCGGACUCAAAAGGGAAACAACCCAGACCGCCGGCUAAGGUCCCAAAUAACAGCUAAGUGGAAAACGAAGUGGAAAGGCCGUGACAACCAGGAAGUUGGCUUAGAAGCAGCCAUCCUUCAAAGAAAGCGUAAUAGCUCACUGGUCGAGUCCUUCUGCGCGGAAGAUGUAACGGGGCUAAGCUGUUAACCGAAGCCGCGGAUGCGCUGGUUAUCCAGUGCGUGGUAGGGGAGCGUUCUGUAAGUCUGCGAAGGCGGUUCGAGAGGACUGCUGGAGAUAUCAGAAGUGCGAAUGCUGACAUGAGUAACGUUAAAGCAGGUGAAAAGCCUGCUCGCCGUAAGCCCAAGGAUUCCUGCUCUACGUUCAUCGGAGCAGGGUGAGUCGGCUCCUAAGGUCAGGCCGAAAGGCGUAGCCGAUGGGAAUCAGGUUAAUAUUCCUGAACCUGCGUCAGAUGCGAUGGGGGGACGGAGCAUGGAAGAUCAUCCGGGUGUUGGAAGUCCCGGUUGUUUAGCGUAGGAGGUCUGCAGGCAAAUCCGCAGACGCAUCUCCAAGGCAAAGACACGUGCCGCCACGGCGGCGAAGUGAUCGGAAGUGCUUCCAAGAAAAGCCUCUAAGCCCCAGUCUGACGCGGACCGUACCGCAAACCGACACUGGUGGGCGAGCUGAAUAUGCUCAGGCGCUUGAGAGAACUCGGGAGAAGGAACUCGGCAAAUUGACACCGUAACUUCGGAAGAAGGUGUGCCGUAGUACCGUGAGAGGAGAGACACCUUGAGCGGGAAACGGUCUCAGAGAAUAGGUGGUUGCGACUGUUUAUUAAAAACACAGCACUCUGCAAAGUCGAAAGACGACGUAUAGGGUGUGAUGCCUGCCCGGUGCUGGAAGAUUAAUUGAUGGGGUGAGAGCCCUUGAUCGAAGUCCCAGUAAACGGCGGCCGUAACUAUAACGGUCCUAAGGUAGCGAAAUUCCUUGUCGGGUAAGUUCCGACCUGCACGAAUGGCAUAACGAUGGCCACACUGUCUCCUCCCGAGACUCAGUGAAGUUGAAAUGUUUGUGAUGAUGCAAUCUACCCGCGGCUAGACGGGAAGACCCCAUGAACCUUUACUGCAGCUUUGCAUUGAACUGUGAACCGAUUUGUGUAGGAUAGGUGGGAGGCAGAGAAGAGGCCACGCCAGUGGCCUUGGAGCCGACCUUGAAAUACCACCCUGAUUUGUUUGCGGUUCUAACCACGGACAGUGAUCCUGUCUUGGGACCGUGCAUGGUAGGCAGUUUGACUGGGGCGGUCUCCUCCUAAAGGGUAACGGAGGAGUACGAAGGUACGCUAGGUACGGUCGGAAAUCGUGCUGAUAGUGCAAUGGCAAAAGCGUGCUUGACUGCGAGAGCAACAACUCGAGCAGAUGCGAAAGCAGGUCAUAGUGAUCCGGUGGCUCUGAAUGGAAGGGCCAUCGCUCAACGGAUAAAAGGUACUCUGGGGAUAACAGGCUGAUACCGCCCAAGAGUUCAUAUCGACGGCGGUGUUUGGCACCUCGAUGUCGGCUCAUCUCAUCCUGGGGCUGUAGUCGGUCCCAAGGGUAUGGCUGUUCGCCAUUUAAAGAGGUACGUGAGCUGGGUUUAAAACGUCGUGAGACAGUUUGGUCCCUAUCUGCCGUGGGCGUUGGAAGAUUGACGGGGGCUGCUCCUAGUACGAGAGGACCGGAGUGGACGCACCUCUGGUGUACCGGUUGUCACGCCAGUGGCAUUGCCGGGUAGCUAAGUGCGGAAGAGAUAACCGCUGAAAGCAUCUAAGCGGGAAACUUGCCUGAAGAUGAGUCUUCCCGGAGGUUGAACCUCCCUCAAGAGUCGUCCGAGACCAGGACGUCGAUAGGUCAGGUGUGUAAGCGCUGUAAGGCGUUGAGCUAACUGAUACUAAUUGCUCGUGAGGCUUGAUCCU